rnacentral:rRNA from 1 species
AUGUCGAGCGAUGGCGGACCAACAGUAGCUGUGAAGAUGUUCGUCGACAAGGAGAAGAAAAGGGUGCUGUUCGCAGAAUCCGACAAGGAGUUCGUCGACGUCCUCUUCAGCUUCCUCACGCUGCCUCUCGGCACGAUCGUUCGUCUUCUUGGCAAGCAGUCUCAGAUAGGGUGCCUUGAUGAACUGUACAGGAGUGUGGAGAGUCUCAAUCAAGAUCACUUCCAAACCAUGGAAUGCAAGGCCAUGCUUCUUAGUCCUGUCAAUGCUGCGGCAUUCCACUUGGAUCGGCUCAAGGUAAAAUUUGACGAUACCAAUCAAAGUGGAUUUUACACUUGCGCACCACACAGGCAGUUUAGCUCUGUACCACCUGGUUGCAAACAUGGCUGCUCGUCAAGCUUCUGGAAAUGUCCACCGCAUCUUCUUGCUGCUGUUCGAGACUAUGGGGAUGGGGUGUUUGUCAAACAUGGUCCGAAGUACAUCGUCACUGAUGAUCUCCAUGUGGCUCCUGCUUCUACAAGACUUGUCUUUUCCCUGCUCGACAGGUUUGGGCUACAAGAUCAAGCCAAGCUUGAGGAGAAAAUUCUUGAACUGAAUGCCAAGAAAAUAAUUAGGUUGCUUAAGAACGUACUGAUCUCCAAGCAACCCUUGACUGCACUAUGUUUUGACGUCUGCCUCUCAGUCCCACUGACAAAAUAUUUGGAUCAGUUACCUGAAAAUCUGUUUCCCAAAGAAGCCAGUGAGGAUAGUAAGCCCGUGCUCAGCGCAGUCGAAAUAACGCUCGUCCAUACGAAGGACAAGGCAUCGGUGUUGUAUGCCGAAGUCGGAGGGGAUUUUCUUGAUCUUCUCUUCGGGUUGCUUUGCGUUCCACUUGGAUCCAUAAUCAAGACAUACGGUCAAUGGUCACAAAACGGGUCCAUCGAUGGUCUUUAUAGAAAUAUUGACGAGAGCGCAAGAACAUGGAUGAAACAAGAAUGCCAAACGGUACUUCUAGCUCCCAAGUUGGCACCCUUCUUUGGUUGCAGCAGCAAUGUACUACAAACAGAAGAGAUGAGCCCAAGAAGUCUGGCCUUCACAUGCUUCAACUGUCGUGCAGUUAAAGUUGCAUACGGCCGAACCGGUUGCAGUUGCAGGUACCCUACGGAGGUAACUGUCACGGAAUCGAACCCGAAGUUCCAAGGCAUAGGAAUUGUCAGCACAGCAUAUGUCAAGGGAGGGCUCAGAAAGUUCCUGGUGACGAGUGACCUGCGCGUCCUCGAUUUCACCAUGACCAACACUCUGCAAGUCAUGAGCGCAGCUAGGAUUCCGAAGGAGAAGCUUGUGGAGAAAGAUCUCACUCUCGACAAAGCCCAGAGUUGCUCUCCUUGUUGGCAGGUUCUGAAGCUGCUAAGGGCUGCAAUGCUGACUCGCGACGCCCUCACCAGCUUGCUCCUGCCUCACAAGAAGUAG